GCGAAGCCGCUCAGUCGUGUCCGACUCGCAGCGACCCCAGGGACUGCAACCUAUGAGGCUCCUCUGUCCAUGGGAUUUUCCAGGCAAGAGUACUGGAGUGGGGUGCCAUUGCCUUCUCCCCUUGCCUGAAUGAGAUGUGCUAAAUGACCAAGGGGAGCAGCAGCAUAUGAUCGCCUUAAAUAACUGAAAACAAUUUUCAGAAAUAUCGGAGGAGACUGCCUUCUUCUGAAUGACUUACCUGGGUGAUCAUAUUACUAAACUACCAAUUAACGUCAAUGUGCUUCUCUAAAUGUGGUGCAGUGCCUAUAUGGAACUCUGCUUCAGGAAGUGCUGAUGGGAAUCGUGAUUAGAAAGCAUGGUGCUGUAUGGAACUCAAGGAAGAGGAAAGCUACAGGAAACUCAGACUGGCCACCGCUGUAGCUCACAGCGGCGUGGGCAGACAGAAGCAUCUGUGUAAAUCUCCGUAUGAUGCCAGGAGCUCUCAGGAGAGGCUCAGAACUACUGUAGAAUGUCCAGCCUUCCUGGCAAAUGGAACUCAGAAAUUCCUUGGACCUCAUGUCUCUUUCUAGUCUGGAAGAACCUUGUAUGAUCAUUGUCAAGUCUUCUUUAACUCCCACUCCUUUCUCAACCCACUGCCCUCUGACUUCUGUCCUCACCACUCCACUGAAACCGUUCUUGCUAAGGUUUUCAAGGACCUUCCAAAAUUUCUGGGCUGAGGGUACUCAACCCAGGGUAGUGGACACUGUUUACCACUUCCUCCUGAGAGUUCUCUUACCGUUGGCUUCUGUGAGACUCUCCCUCCGUUCUUUCCUGUGUCUCACUGAUAACUGUCUCUCUCUCUUUUUUUGCUGUCCUUUCUUCUUCCUAAAUAGUUUUGUUGUUGGCCUCCUUC